UACGUAGGGUGCAAGCGUUAAUCGGAAUUACUGGGCGUAAAGCGUGCGCAGGCGGUGAUGUAAGACAGAUGUGAAAUCCCCGGGCUCAACCUGGGAACUGCAUUUGUGACUGCAUCGCUGGAGUGCGACAGAGGGGGAUGGAAUUCCGCGUGUAGCAGUGAAAUGCGUAGAUAUGCGGAGGAACACCGAUGGCGAAGGCAAUCCCCUGGGCCUGUACUGACGCUCAUGCACGAAAGCGUGGGGAGCAAACAGG
rnacentral:rRNA from 1 species